rnacentral:rRNA from 1 species
UACGUAUGGGGCAAGCGUUAUCCGGAUUUACUGGGUGUAAAGGGAGCGUAGGCGGCCUGGCAAGUCUGAUGUGAAAUACCGGGGCCCAACCCCGGGGCUGCAUUGGAAACUGUCAGGCUGGAGUGUCGGAGAGGCAGGCGGAAUUCCUAGUGUAGCGGUGAAAUGCGUAGAUAUUAGGAGGAACACCAGUGGCGAAGGCGGCCUGCUGGACGAUGACUGACGCUGAGGCUCGAAAGCGUGGGGAGCAAACA